rnacentral:rRNA from 2 species
GACAAUGGGCGAAAGCCUGAUCCAGCCAUGCCGCGUGUGUGAAGAAGGUCUUCGGAUUGUAAAGCACUUUAAGUUGGGAGGAAGGGCAGUAAGUUAAUACCUUGCUGUUUUGACGUUACCAACAGAAUAAGCACCGGCUAACUUCGUGCCAGCAGCCGCGGUAAUACGAAGGGUGCAAGCGUUAAUCGGAAUUACUGGGCGUAAAGCGCGCGUAGGUGGUUCGUUAAGUUGGAUGUGAAAGCCCCGGGCUCAACCUGGGAACUGCAUCCAAAACUGGCGAGCUAGAGUAUGGCAGAGGGUGGUGGAAUUUCCUGUGUAGCGGUGAAAUGCGUAGAUAUAGGAAGGAACACCAGUGGCGAAGGCGACCACCUGGGCUAAUACUGACACUGAGGUGCGAAAGCGUGGGGGAGCAAACAGGAUUAGAUACCCCUGG